rnacentral:rRNA from 1 species
UACGUAGGGGGCUAGCGUUGUCCGGAUUUAUUGGGCGUAAAGAGCGUGUAGGCGGCCAGGUAGGUCUGCUGUGAAAACUCGAGGCUCAACCUCGAGACGUCGGCGGAAACCAUUUGGCUAGAGUCCGGAAGAGGAGAGUGGAAUUCCUGGUGUAGCGGUGAAAUGCGCAGAUAUCAGGAGGAACACCUAUGGCGAAGGCAGCUCGCUGGGACGUUACUGACGCUGAGGAGCGAAAGCGUGGGUAGUAAACAGG